ACCAGUGUAGUACAAUGGCUAGUAUCUCCGUUUCCCAUGCGGAGGAUAGGGGUUCGAUUCCCUUCGCUGGUA